AGUGAGGCUCAGCAUGGGGCACAGAGAGGAACAGUCACCCCUCCUCUCCCAGCAGCCUGCCCAGGGCACCUGCACCCUGCAUUCUAAGAGGGACACAAGGCGCUGCUGGCGGUGUGUCUGCAGGACCCACAAGAAUGCCUGCUGGUGACGUUUCAGCAGGACUCUCCAGCAACCCCACUCCUGAGCACGUGACGAACAUAAGCCAUCUUCAUAUGCCACCAGAAGACGAGCCUCGGGAGCAGUUUUAGUUCUAAGAGCUCCAAGCUGAAAGCCGACUGCCUGUCAUCCUUGACCACCUGUCCACAAGGAAGAAGGGGUACAUUUUCCUAGAUUCACACAACUGAAUGCUACACACCCGUGAAAAAGAACAAGUUACAGGUCCAGGCAACAAUGAGGAUGAACCUCACAAACAUAACAUGAAGCAGAAGGAGGCAGACAUGAAAGAGUACAGACUGCAGCAUUCCACUCAUAGGAAGUCCAAGCAUGGGCAACGAAUCCAUGCGGCUAGAGAUGGAGUUUCACUUUGUCGCCCAGGCUGGAGGGCAAUGGUGCGCUCUCGGCUCACUGCAAACUUCGCCUCCCGGAUUCAAGCUAUUCUCCUGCCUCAGCCUCCCCAGUAGCUGGGAUUACAGGCGCCUGUCACCAUGCCUGGUUAAUUUUUUUUGUAUUUUUAGUAUAGAUAGGGUUUCACUAUGUUGGCCAGUUUGGUCUUGAACUCCUGACCUCAGGUGAUCCGCCCACCUCGGCCUCCCAAAGUGCUGGGAUUACAGGCGUGAGCCACUGCGCCUAGCCAGUUUUCUCCUUUUAAGUCCUGUGUGUCCAGAGAGGGGUGGGCACACUCACAUUCAAAUCAAUGCUGCCAUCCCCCUGGCUCCAGGGACCCCUGCAGUUUAAGCUUCUCCGGGAAGCCUCUGCUUUCAGGUUUCUUUUCUGGCCCAGUCCAGGUGAAAAGAGCUCGCACUAAGAUCUCUGCUGGGAGUCAGACUCACCUGUCUACCAGCUUGGGCAGACGCUUGCCUUGAGUCCUGAGGCUAGGCCACAGCUGGAGCAGCAGAUAGAAGGGACAGGGUUGCACUUAUAACACCACUAUCCUCCCAGCCCUGGUUUUAUCAUCAUCAUCGAGAAAAAUACAAUUAAUCAGCAGUGAUCAAAGGUAAGUCUAAACAUUCCAUUUAACUAACUUAAAUGUGACCUGGUGUGCCGUGUCAUUCUAUAAAUGACAUAACAGAAUAAGACUCACUUUCUAAUUCACAGCCUCUGGUUCAAUUUCAAGUAAGCAAAUACAUUUUGCUUUGGUUUUGCUUACAAUAUUCUGGGAAAUGCAGGCUAUAAAUAAUCACUCAACUGUUUUGUGGGUCAACAGAAUCACUACUACUUUCAGUUUCGUUGAUGCCAUUUAUAUCAUGAGCUCAAGCACACGGGCGCUUCAGAAGGCACUAUAAAGUUUAGUUUUGAUGUGGUGUGAUGUUCUGAUCUAUCUUGAAAGGUAAAGAAACCCACAGGAUUCAGCGUCAAGCCAAUCCAUGCCCAGGCACAUCGCAGCUGCUAGGUCAGGAAAUCUGUGCGUUUAGGAGGCUCUGAGGGUGAUGCUGGGACUGUACUCAGGUAAUUAAACCCGGACAAACCCUGAGGCACAGAGAGGAUGAGUAGGGGCCCUGGAGGCAGCCUGACCCACAGGGAAUUCUCGAGUGUGUGGCAGCCCUGCCUGGGGAACGAAGACCCGAGCCUCAAUUUCCUCACAGGGGCACUCGCAGGGUUGCUGUGAGGAUCACAGGGGUAAUGUAUGUGGCAGUUUGUCAUACCCCAGGGCUCUGUAAGCGGCAGUUAUUUAUAUUGUUACUUAUGACACUGAACUAAGAGCUGACCCUGACGCCGCCUCCUCAGAAGCCCUAAGUCUUGAGUGGCCUGGACACCACUACACACGAGAGUCAGGGGCGGGGGCUUUGAGAUGGACCACCAGGAAAGCCGGGAGAGGGACCGGGACAGGGCUCCCACUUGCUCCUGGCUCACAGGGGCCCUCAUAGUCAUCAGGUGGACCCCAACAGCUGUGGCCUGACAAAGAUUCCCCCAAAGGCCAGCCCACCUUACACGCUACAUCUGCCCCAACAGCCCCCCAGCCCAACAGGUGGUGCCUUCAUGGAGAUGCCCAUCCCUGCACGUAGCACUCAAGGCAGUUCUCCCACCUGUAAAGCUGUUUUUCUUCCCCUACAAUCCACACCCAACCUUUCUAGGUCAAUCCUGAAACCCCACACAAGCUCCCCAACUACACCAGAUCCUUCAACUCCAACACGCUCACCAAGUCUCUUCAAUAGUCACUUCCAUCUUUAUAAUUUACCAUUUUCUUGAGCUGUUUGUAUAUUUCUCUAACCAGAAAGACAAGAAGUAGUAGUAUUCAGAUUUAUAAUGACUGGUUACUGGUACUGAUUUGAGAGUUUCUUGUCAAGCGGAUGAGUGUUUAAGGCCCACCACCUCUUUUCAUAUUCUUCUCUCUUAAAAACCACAUUUUCAAAGGUCUGCAAACGUUUUCCACAGUCAACAACUUGAGAGGCAUGGAAGUUUCUUGCUUAUCAGGGGCCAAGGGGGAAUUUUAGAAUCUUUUGGGUAAAUGAAUGUUUAACAUCCCCUGAAAGCUGCUGGAGAGUGGGGAACCUAGGACCGUCACAAAACAGCCAGCCUCUGCAUUGCCUCUGCCGACCAGGGCUGCAGAGGGCAGCCACCCAGGGCUCAGCCACCGGCAGGAGUGGAGGAAGCACAGCUCCAAAGGUCACAGAAUUGCAGUCCUGGAGCUGGGUCCCUGCCAACUCCCGGAGAGUGAGCGAGGGGCCACUGGGCUGUGAAUGCACUGUCUCUGGCAGUGGAUGAUUUCCUCGUUCUUCUACGAUAGAGACUCUAAUGCCUCUCAGGCCCCUGAUGGUCUACAGGCCGGGUGACGUAAUCCCAAUGAGGGUAAGAAAAUUAUUCCUGCUUUUCUCCAGGUUAUAACUGGUGAUUAUGUAGGCUUGUCUGCUUUAAUCUUCUUUUCUCAAAGUCUAGUAGAACACCUGCUUAACAACUUCCUGCCCACCCAUCACUCAGACAAAAAUGCAGCGUUCCAAGAACAAUGGAGAGCCACCUCCGCAGCCAGACCUAGGGUUGGAUCGCACGAAGAGCUGGAAUUUGGGGAACCACUUAAGACUGGAUACAUUUGGAAGGAACAGUCACACAAGAUAAAAUAAAUAUUUAGCUAAGCUUUCAAAUUCUGGAAAUGUCAACUAAUAAAACUAAAAGUCUACUACCUCUGAAAGUAUAAAUCCAAAAAACAUUUAAAAGACUUUAAUUUUAGCAAAGGGAAACCGAAAAGCCAAAGCAGCAGAAUAACUUGUUUCUACAUAAUCUGUUUCCCCAUGUACCUGCUACCAUCCCCAUCCUCUGCCCCACAAGCUUUUCAAGUGACGAACUCCUCACAGAGACGACAGGCAGUGCUUUCCAUGAUUCUUACCUUAACUAUGCUGAUAGGCUUUCGAGAUAAGUGAAAACUUGCAUACAGCAGAAAUGUCAAAAUAAAAAUGAAGGCUCUGUACCUGAAACACAAAACAGUGGGAGAGGAUGAUAUGAAAUAACAGAAGUUAUGUUAGGAAUACAUAUCACUGUGUUCUGAAACGUUCUUAUGCUGUGUAUUAUUCAUUCAGUUCUACAGCCAUUAUCAAUAUUACUUAUGUCACUAUAAUAUUGGAACAUUAAAAAAUAUUGCCACGUUUGCUUUGUCCAAAUGGAAACUGAACACUGUAAGAGACAGGAAAAACCAGACUGCUUUUCCUACCCUCAUGCACAACACACAACAUACCAUACUUCUAACACUACGUGUGUAGGGGUUUUCCCCAUAUACCAAGCAAUUCUCCAGCUGACACUGGAUGUCCUCUAAGUGAAUUCAAUUCUCACACUGUCUUCCAGGAGUCAGCAUCAGCCCCCACAGGGCGGGGCUCCGGCCGAGGCUGCCCCGCUUCACAUGCCAAUGGCAACAAGCCCCAGGUUGUGACCUGCUCCUCUGACCAACUGGCUCUCAGGGUGGUUCCCAAGAACCCCUUCUCAGGUUCGAUUAAUUUGCCAGAGCAGCUCGUAGAACUCAGGGAAACACAUUUACUGCUUUAUUAUAAACGAUGUUACAAAGAAUACAUACAGAUGAAGAGAUGCACAGGGCGAGGUAUGGGGCAGGGAGCUCGGAGCUGCUGUGCCCUCGCCAGGGCUCCACCCUCCGGGAACCUCCCCGUGCUCAGCAGCCUGCAAGCCCCCAAACGCUGUCGUUGAGGGAGUCUGUGGAGGCCUCAUUACACAGGCACGAUCGAGCAGAACACCGGCCACUGGUGAUCCACUCCACCUCUGCGGGCUCCCUCCCCUCCCCAGAGGUCCACGGGUGGAGUCCCAACCUCUAAUCACGUGGUCGGUUGCCCUGGCAACCAGUCCCCCAGGAGGUUGUCCUGGGGCCCGCCACAGUCACCUCAUUAGCAAACAAAAAGACACUCAGCACUAAAGGUUGUAGGAGCUGUGUGCCCAGAACCAGGGCCAGAGACCAAAAGCAUGUUUCUUAUUAUUACGUCACAAUAUCAAAAGCAUUCAUCUAUUUAAAGAAACCGUAACCAAAGGGAAACCUGGGACUCGAGAUGCACACUUGAGUUUACAAAGCAGAACAAGCACGAUGAAAUGUUUAGUUUACAACAAAACUAACCACAAGUUUCUGGCGUAGCCUGCUAUCCUGGGCAAUUAAGAUCAUAUUUAUUUUUGGCUCUUUGGUUUCUAUGCAACUUUUCAGAAGCACACAAGCAAGGCAGACAUAUAAAUAUUUCACGGCCCUCAAAGAGAAAAAGGCAGUGACGCUGGCAGGCUCUCAAUAGGCCAGUGACAGAAACACUGGUACAAAGCCCCUCGCUCAGUUUGGCUGGGAGAAAAGCAGCCGAAAGAGUCAGCAUGAGUGUGAGGAAGAAAGAAGAAAAGAAGGUGCCUUAGAAAGAAGACAAAGGGCAACUCCAGUCUAAGAGUCUCAACCACCGCAUAGAAAAAUACUUUUUGGGGCAACAAAAUGGGUUGGGAGAAAGAAGUAUUUGACAGGAGUGGAAGGCGAGGGGCAGCUCUUCUGUGUCCUAGGCACAUCUCCCUACCCUGGAGAACCUGUCCUGCUUGUGGCCUGGGAAGAGACUUCAAAUGGCGCCACCAACAACCUGAAUCAAUAAUUACCUAAGGCGGCGUCCUACACAGGACAAAGAAAGGCAGCGUUUCCGAGAGUCCCUGGGAUAAGGGGUUGCUUCUCCCAGCUGCGCAUCUACAUUUUUAAUGUUGUGAUUUACUCCGAGGGAAGCUUUCCACAAGUAACUAAAAUCCUAGGAUCCCAGAGCUGCCUUCUUCUCUGGUCACCAGCUAAAGUAGGGGUCAAAUAAAUAUUUCCAGAUUUUUCUUAAAAAAAAAAAGGCCAUAUUUCAGGUGGGAAAGAAAGGUUGGUGGCUCCGUGUGACACAAAACUACAACCUUUGGAAUGCCUGUGCCUUUGGGGAAGGAACCAAACCAAACCAACUCGCAGAAUACCUGCUGACUGAAGACAGAAAUUCCCCAGUGCUCUCUUCUUCAUCAGGGAACUAUCUUCCAAUGGCCUUUCUCCAAUUCUUCCUCUCCAAGCCCAUGGCAAGGGCCAAAUGGGAAAAAAGCGAAACCCUAAAAGGCGAGCCUAUCAUUUAUCCCAAAGCCCAAAGAACAAAGGCUAUGUGGGUACAGUGGAUUUGCUCCAGAAGCCCCGGCCUCUGUCCUCGUGUUUCUGAAAACCAUCCUUUCUGGCAAGGAAAGAAAGUCUCAGCGCUUUGGAUGAAGCUCUCUGUUAGGCCACCACUGCUUCUCACGCCUUCGACUGCUGGUGCAGGAAGAUUCCAGGCCACUGGGCUUCACCGGCCCUCAAUGCUCACUUGUCCAGCCCACAGCUUGACAAACUGGUCACUUCCACCCCACCUGCUGGAGCUGACUAGGGCAAGUAAGGCUGAUGGGUGACCCUGAUCGGCCCUCACUGGAGUACAGGGUUUCCUUCUCCAAUCUCCUCAAAACAGGUGAACAAAGUUCUCAGGCCAAGUUGCCUCCAGCACCUCCCCAGUCUCAGACAAGUCCAUGGACCAUCUCUCCUGCUCCAUGCAGGAGGAUUCUCCAACCACAGUGCCAGUUCUACAGGUGUUAUCACCCAGCUAGGAAGGAUUUUGAGAAGAGCAGCUCUGUCCUAUGGGCUGUGGGUUCACAUCUCCACUCUCCACCCAGACAGCCCAGAAGGAAGGCUGUCUCCCUUUGUCGGGCUGAGGUCUGAAGAGUGCUGAGGCCCCGACACACACCGCGUUCCCAAUGGUCAGGGCUGCUUGGGUGAUCAGGCCCUGGUGAUGCGUUCUGGGCUCCUGCCUUCCUCUGCGGGGUGACUCCCGGCUGGUGCUCACAGCACACGCCUAGAGAUGCCCUGAGAACACUGAGGAGCACACAAGGGGCAGCACAUGCCUCUGGAACCUUUAGUUCAGCCUUGUGUGGAGGGAGACACCUUAAUGAAUGAGACCCUUUGGGAAGAGUCACUGCCACGGUGUAGCCAGGCUGACAGAAGCCGUCCUGUAGAAUUGGGUGAAGGGUCCAUUUACACAGCAAACUGGAAUGUUCCUAAAGACUGAAGAGGAAAACGCUGUAUUUAUUUAGCUGGUGUCAGGCCAACUCUACUUCUAUUUCCAAAUUCGUCUUUCCUCUCUCAUUUCUUCAUCUUCUGUACUUAGGACUUGGGGCUUGGGGAUGGGGGACGCAGUGGCUGGAGGCUAGACUUUCCUCUUUGAAAGGUCUGACUUCAGCUCCCGUGACUAUUGCUAAACCGCGGCAGCCACACUCGGGCCGCUGCCUUGCUGGUUGUCACCCCGAUACGCCUGGCCUCUGGGUAGGCAGACGCUUCACUCUGCAGCAUGGAUGGGCUCAAACCCCCAGAAGCCAAACAGCCCUCCCGAAGUCCUUUCUUAUUUCGUAAUUCUAUCUACGUUUUCUUUAUCAUUUAUAAAGCAGAUGUUUUGGAUGAUAUGUUUCCUUUUGUUCAUUUUGUACUGGGUUGAAUAUCAUCCCCCAUAAUUUCAUGUCCACCCAAAACCUCAGAACGUGACCUUAUUUGGAAAUAGGGUCAUGUAGACAUGAUUAGCUCAGGUGAGGUCAUAUUAGAUAGAGUGAGCCCUCAUUCCAAUGACUGGCGUCCUCACCAGAAGGCCACGCAAAGACUCAGAGACAGGAAGGGAGGCCACGUGGCCACACAGGCAGAGACUGGUGUGAUGCAGCCACCAGCCAAGAACGGCGGCAGCAGCAGGAGCUGGAAGAGGCAAGGAAGGGUCUGUCCCCGGAGCCUGCAGAGGAAGUGUGGCCCUGCUGACACUUUGACUUUGGACUUCUGACCUCCAGGGAUGUGAGAGGGUAAAUUCCUGUUGUUUCAAGACACCCAGCUUGUGGUACCAUGUUACAGCAGCCCCAGGAGGCUAAUAUAAUCCUUUCAUUUUUGUUUUGUGUUAUGUUUAGACUUAUGAAUAUAAAACAAAUACAAUAAAAAAAUAAAUGAUCU
rnacentral:lncRNA from 1 species